rnacentral:lncRNA from 1 species
UUUAAAAAAGAUAUCAAUUGCUAUAAAUUCAUAGUGCUAUAGUAUGCUUUUAACAUAGAAAAAUGUGUACAGUGUAACUUUUUGAUAAUUAUGGGUUAUAAAAGUGUGAAUUAGUUUUUAGGUAUUUAAUAUUUUGUGAAGGCAUGAAAAUUUUAAAAAUUGUCGGAAUCACUUAAAAUGUGGUAGCAUUAAUGAAUUGUAUGCUGUUCAAGGGAAACUGUAGGUUAAGAGUGGGAUAAAUAUAUGAGGGUAAACUACCUUUGAGUUACACUUCAAGCUCACUUUCAAUUACUCUUGUAUAUUAGGUGCAAACUUUUACCUUUAAAUUGCAAAGACUGAUGGAAAUAUGUAGUAGAGUGUAUGUUUUGUGGUAAGAAAGAGGAAGGAGGUGAGAUUAACACUUAUCUAAUUGUCUUUCUUCCCUUUUUAGCAAUAUUUGUGUGAGUAGAAAGUGCAAACCCAUGAAAGUAUUGGACCUUUGAAAUGGCAAAUUAUUGUUCCUCUGAAAAGAUGCAGAAGAUGUUCAAGUUUUGACAGCUAUAUAUGGAUGAUGGCUACAGGGUACAGCACGAAUAAAGACAACUUCCAUCUUUCAGAAAGUUUCACUGGAUAGUGGGAACCCAAGGCCAUCAGCCCAGUAACUACUCUUCUAUGACGGUCCUUAUUCUCCAAAUUGUCAUUCUUAAGAACCUCAUGUGAUAAAAUCUCGCGCUUCUCACCGACUCUCCUUUUUCAAUGGCCACAGCAGUAGGGCUAUGGGAAGGACAGAAGACUAGUCAAUGCCUCGAGUAGCAUUGUCAAAUCAUUAUUAGAGCUAAAGGACUACACUGUGGAAUGAUAUUUUCAACUCUUGAAACAG